rnacentral:rRNA from 1 species
ACUGUCAGGUGGGCAGUUUGACUGGGGCGGUCGCCUCCCAAAAGGUAACGGAGGCGCUCAAAGGUUCUCUCAGUACGGUCGGCAAUCGUACGUAGAGUGUAAAGGCAAAAGAGAGCUUGAUUGCAAGACAUACAGGUCGAGCAAGGAUGAAAAUCGGACUUAGUGAUCCGGUGGUUCUGCGUGGAAGGGCCAUCGCUCAACGGAUAAAAG